rnacentral:rRNA from 1 species
UACGAAGGGGGCUAGCGUUGCUCGGAAUCACUGGGCGUAAAGCGCGCGUAGGCGGAUCGUUAAGUCGGGGGUGAAAUCCUGGAGCUCAACUCCAGAACUGCCUUUGAUACCGGCGAUCUUGAGUCCGGGAGAGGUGAGUGGAACUCCGAGUGUAGAGGUGAAAUUCGUAGAUAUUCGGAAGAACACCAGUGGCGAAGGCGGCUCACUGGCCCGGUACUGACGCUGAGGUGCGAAAGCGUGGGGAGCAAACAGG